AGACCGACUCUAACAUCCCUGCUGCGAGGCCCGCGGGCUGUGGAAUCUCGCACGUCACCUGGCCUCAGCAAGGCGGCCAGCUGAGGGGUUCAUUUUAUUUAAUUUUAUUUUUUGAAGUUAAGGCUGAAUCUCGGCUUCAGUGGUUUUUGCCAACGUCUCUUCUGACAGGAACCAGCAAACUUCAGGACUCAAAUGAGCGUCUUAAUUUAUUGAUGCAAAACAGUUUAGAAAGUGUAAAAAAUUCCCAGAGCACCCCUGACCCUCAAGAAGACUGAUCAAUUCAGAGAGAAAUAUCAUGUCCUGUAUUUUGUACCUGCUAAGCAAAUGCACAACUUGAAUUGUUGGGUUGUUUUCUUGGCCAGGUUGCCCUGUUACCUAGCAGGCCCAGCAGUUGUAGAUGUGACCUAGAGAGAACCAAGGACUUUGCCUAGAAUUCAAGUGUCUAGUUCUUCUCUGGCCUUUGAAUCUUCCAGAUCCACCCUCACGGCCAACACCAUGUACAUGUCACACCCAGCAUCUUCUCACCCUUCACAGAUGUCCUUCCGAACCACUUGUACUCACCCACUCUGCACACUGCAUUGUGACCCACUUCCAUUCCUCCUGGAUGACUCGGGAAAAAAUAUUUUUCCACAUAAUUCUCCCUAUACCACAUAAGAGGAAGCACUCUUACAGCCCAUUGAGUGCAGCCAAUAAGUGUCAAAGAUACUCAUCCAAGGUAAAAAGAAGAGGCUCUUAAUACUGUUCAAAGCUCUAUACCUUCUCUCAACCAAACCUUCAGAAAUUUGAAAGAACUGGGGAGGGAGUAGAGAGGAUGAAAGAGCACUAAGAGAAUUUGUCUGCAGUGUCUUCUUCCCACCUCCCUGUUGAGUGCUGAAACAUCUGCUUAAAAAAAAGGGACAUCCUUCCUGAUUGGAGGAAGACCAUUUUUUAAGACAAAAUAAUAUGAGUUGCUGCUCUCUUCUGCGAGGACCUAUACCAGAGUUAACAUGAUUGGAAGCAAAGGUCAUGAUUCCUACCCGUUCUCUUCCCUCACUGCAAAACCUGGAUUAAUUGGGACAGAGGAGCCAGAAAUAUGAAAGCUUCACAUGUGAGAUAAAUGCACUCAAAGACUCCUCACAAGUAGCUCUUUGGAGCUUCAGAUGUGAAAUGGAUCAUUCCUCAAGCUGUAAUAGACCCUUUGGUGAAGCUCUUCAAUCAAACCUGAGAAUUCAAGACGUUUUGUAGCAUCCUAAACAGAAGGAUAUUGAAGGGAGCUGAUUCUGCUUUGAUCCUUGUGCUUGUUGUCAAAGCGCUUGGGAUUGAAGAGACUGUUGGCUACAAUUGACUGUGACAAUUAGGAGAUGAUCAGAGCCCUAGAGUGGAGCACUUAAAGGGUUUGCAUUUAAAACACUCUUGGAGCACUAAUUGUAUAAAAUUCUGGUAACUGCACAUUCUCUUUUUAGAGGUGUAAUGAGUGAAUGAAUGAAAAGCCAGGGAUUAUUUGCCAUUCUAAGUGAGAAUUGUCAGAACAUUUCUGCUUGACUGAAAUUGUUUUGGAAGGUGAGCUGGAAUAAGAAUCUUGCAACUAAAAUGAAGUGACUCUGCAUGUGGUUCUUGGAUGCUUCUCUUCAUCAAAGUAUUCUGCAGAAAUGUUCUGAGGCUUCCAAGUUGAUUUAAAUUUUAUUUAUGAGAGAGUUUUUAGGUGAAUCAAAUGAAAACAUUUUAAAGUACUCAUAUUUGACUCUUAGCAAGUAAAUAGGAGUCUUUGAAAGCUCAUUUGGAAUUAUUUGAAAUGAGUUUUCUUAUUAUCAUCAUGGUGUUUUUUUUUUUCCAAUAUACAAAUUGCCAUGUUGUGGCAAAAUAAAUUUUUGAAAUGCUUUGAAAAGUUUUCAGAAAUGUGUCCAAGGAAACAAUAUGUAAAUUGUUAGAGUUAAUUCACAUGUCAAUUUAUCAAAAUGUUGCUUCUACUGAAAAGUCUUAGAACCUUUAGCACAGCAUUCCAGAACAUUACUGCCUUGUUUAAACGAGCAGCUCUUUCUUUGUCUUUGAUGGUGACACUAGAGUUACCAGGUUUAACAAAUAAAAUUAAUGAAUUCCUGUUAGGUUUGAAUUUCUGAUGAACAAUGAAUACAUUUUUAGUGUAACUAUGUCCCAUCAGUAUUUGCGUUUUAUCUGGCAACCCUAAGGUGGCACUCUAUAUGGACAGACAUUCCAACUGUACAUUGAGUGGACAAUUUAAUUAUUUAUAAAUGAUAAAUUGUCAUUUAUAAAUCAUUUUACCUUUCACUGUCAGACUAGGGCAAGGAACUUGCUCUUUUAGAUCGAAACCAAUGGACUUUUUAACUCAUCAAUGCUAAGUUUAAUUUCCCCCCUCAUUUUCCCAGGGCAAGUUGUGACUUGUCAUUUCAAGCAUAUAGUAAUUUCUGCUUGACUAAUAUAAUGGAGACUUCAGAGAAGGUGGCUGAGGAGUCUGGUUUACCUACAUUGAUCAGGCUCUGAAUGGAGUGCGUGGUGGUACAGGAACAAAGAACUGAAUGAUGCAAUGGGGCAUAUUAUCUUUCUGAAGCCCUAUCUUUCCUUUUGUGGCAGUAUUGUGACUACGUAUACAUAUAUUACAGACCCUCCCCAGGCGGUCUCUAUCAAGAAUGCUUCUGCCCAGUGUCAUUCAGCCAAUAGACCAAAUUCAGAAGCAAAGGAACGCCUUAUUCUUGGAUGGGAGAAUGACAAGUCUGAGUGGCCCCUUAAGAGCACAGGCUUUCCUUAUCAGGCCUGGGUGGGGCUGCUUUCACUGGGUUCUCAGUGGGGAGGACAGGGAGGGAUGGGCGGAGUUCUCCCAGCUCGGGCUCAGCUGUGCCCAUCAGGCUCAGCUGUGCCCAUCAGGCUCAAGCACCGCUGCACCUGGCCUGCCGCCAUCUUGAACUGAGUCGUGAGCGGUUCCUCUGCACCCUUUCUCAGAGCUGAGGUUUCAGCACAGUCGUUUAGCUCUAGGAACCCUGGUCUGAGCUGCUGGGGCCUCUGUACACGUACACCUAUGAGAAGUAAAACUAGACUGAGGACAAAGGAAAAGGGCUGCAUGUGCGAUUUAUGUAAGUUCCCAGGCUAGGGCUCUAAUCGGAGCUACAGCUGCUAUCUUACACCACAGCCACAGCACCACCAGAUCUGAGCCAUAUCUGCAAUGUACACCACAGCUCAUGGCAAUGCCAGAUCCUUAACCCACUGAGUGAGGCCAGGGAUUGAACCCCCAUCCGCAUGGAUCCUAGUCAGGUCCCGGUUGUUGAAGGUGUGCCAAGACCUGUCAGUGUUCUAAAAGAAGGAUCUCAGUCAGCACCUAGUUUCAAGCUGAUUAGAAGCCAGACCAUCAGGCAGCAGCUUUUAAAGUAUGCUAAUAUAUAUUCUCCUGCGGGACUGUAAUCAUAAGUCUUGCUGGCCUGGGGAGGAAUGUAAAGGAAACAUUCCCAGUAUGUAUGAAGAACAGCUGUCCAUGGACACAGCAACUUUUAAAAAUGAUUAUACCCAACUUUACUGCAGUAUGGAUUAUGGAAUCAAAAAUAUUUUUCACUGUGUACCAAAGAAUUCUGUUUUACGGGCCAGUUUUAAAGCUUUUAACUGCAUGAGACAUAUGCUGCAGUUCUGUUGUUUGUUCUCCAUGUGAUGUACUCUGAAAUAUGUAAGAAGAAAAAAAA
rnacentral:lncRNA from 1 species